rnacentral:rRNA from 1 species
UACAGGGGGUGCAAACGUUGCUCGGAAUCAUUGGGCGUAAAGCGCACGUAGGCGGUCUGUUAUGUCGGAUGUGAAAGCCCUCGGCUCAACUGAGGAAGUGCAUCCGAAACCGGCAGGCUAGAGUACUAAAGAGGGUCGCGGAAUUCCCGGUGUAGAGGUGAAAUUCGUAGAUAUCGGGAGGAACACCGGUGGCGAAGGCGGCGACCUGGGUAGAUACUGACGCUGAGGUGCGAAAGCGUGGGGAGCGAACAGG